rnacentral:rRNA from 1 species
CCUACGGGCGGCAGCAGUGGGGAAUAUUGCACAAUGGGGGAAACCCUGAUGCAGCGACGCCGCGUGUAGGAAGACGGUCCUCUGGAUUGUAAACUACUGUCCCCAGGGACGAAGAUGACGGUACCUGGGGAGGAAGCUCCGGCUAACUACGUGCCAGCAGCCGCGGUAAUACGUAGGGAGCGAGCGUUGUCCGGAAUUACUGGGUGAAAAGGGAGCGUAGGCGGGGAUGCAAGUUGGGUGUUAAAUGUACCGGCUCAACUGGUAGUCGCACUCAAAACUGCAGCUCUGGAGUGAAGUAGAGGCAGGCGGAAUUCCUAGUGUAGCGGUGAAAUGCGUAGAUAUUAGGAGGAACACCAGUGGCGAAGGCGGCCUGCUGGGCUUUUACUGACGCUGAGGCUCGAAAGUGUGGGGAGCAAACAGGAUUAGAUACCCGAGUAGUC